CCUACGGGAGGCAGCAGUGGGGGAUAUUGCACAAUGGGGGGAACCCUGAUGCAGCGACGCCGCGUGGGUGAAGAAGCGCCUCGGCGCGUAAAGCCCUGUCAGCAGGGAAGAAAAUGACGGUACCUGAAGAAGAAGCCCCGGCUAACUACGUGCCAGCAGCCGUGGUUAUACGUAGGGGGCAAGCGUUAUCCGGAUUUACUGGGUGUAAAGGGGGCGCAGACGGCGAUGCAAGCCAGGAGUGAAAGCCCGGGGCCCAACCCCGGGACUGCACUUGGAACUGCGUGGCUGGAGUGCAGGAGGGGCAGGCGGAAUUCCUGGUGUAGCGGUGAAAUGCGUAGAUAUCAGGAGGAACACCGGUGGCGAAGGCGGCCUGCUGGACUGCAACUGACGUUGAGGCCCGAAAGCGUGGGGAGCAAACAGGAUUAGAUACCCCAGUAGUC
rnacentral:rRNA from 1 species